rnacentral:lncRNA from 1 species
CCUUGGCGGACAGUGCCUGAGCAGGCGCGGCGGGCCAGGCCUAGGGACUGGCGCGGGGUGCGAGUGGGGCAGGAGGCCCGGUCAAUCCCGCUUCCCUGCCUCCCGCAGCUCAUCGCUCUCAUAGAGGAGCAGCUCGAGAGCCGUGGGUUCUUUGACAGCUUCCGCUGGGACUGCCUAGCCAACAUGGACACUCAGCCAGCUUACCAGACCCCUGAGAUGGAAGGCGGAUAAUUUUGUGUCUACACAUCUGUACAAACAGGAACGGAAUCCUGCAAUGAACAAGAGCCGGUUGGGAAAUGGGCUGAGGCAGAGCGUGGUUCAGUUAGGCAUGUUGGAAGCAGGAGUGGACAGGAUCGUUUCUCAAGCUAAACCAAGCUAACCACACCUUCAGGCCACAGAUAGAGCGAGCAAUCCACGAGUUCCCCGGCGGCCCAGAAAAAGCUGUGCCAGCUCUGCCUCCAGAAUCUGAAAGCCCGGAUCCUCUAGCGCCAUCCCAGGAUGC